rnacentral:rRNA from 1 species
GACGAACGCUGGCGGCGUGCUUAACACAUGCAAGCCGAACGGUGAAGCCCUUCGGGGUGGAUCAGUGGCGAACGGGUGAGUAACACGUGAGCAACCUGCCCCUGGCUCUGGGACAACCACUGGAAACGGUGGCUAAUACCGGAUACGACCCGCCUCGGCAUCGAGUGUGGGUGGAAAGUUUUUCGGCUGGGGAUGGGCUCGCGGCCUAUCAGCUUGUUGGUGAGGUGAAGGCUCACCAAGGCGACGACGGGUAGCCGGCCUGAGAGGGCGACCGGCCACACUGGGACUGAGACACGGCCCAGACUCCUACGGGAGGCAGCAGUGGGGAAUAUUGCACAAUGGGCGAAAGCCUGAUGCAGCGACGCCGCGUGAGGGAUGACGGCCUUCGGGUUGUAAACCUCUUUCAGCUCCGAAGAAGCGAAAGUGACGGUAGGAGCAGAAGAAGCACCGGCUAACUACGUG